GAAAUGCGAUAAGUAAUGUGAAUUGCAGAAUUCAGUGAAUCAUCGAAUCUUUGAACGCACAUUGCGCCCGUCAGCAUUCUGGCGGGCAUGCCUGUUCGAGCGUCAUUUCAACCCUCAGGACCCCCCUUUCGCGGGGAGGGACCUGGCGUUGGGGAUCGGCCCGCCCCCCGUGGCGGCGCCGUCCCCGAAAUCUAGUGGCGGUCUCGCUGCAGCCUCCCCUGCGUAGUAGUUACAACCUCGCAUCGGAGCGCGGCGCGGCCACGCCGUAAAACCCCCGACUUUCUGAAUGUUGACCUCGAAUCAGGUAGGAAUACCCGCUGAACUUAAGC
rnacentral:misc_RNA from 1 species